UACGUAGGGGGCGAGCGUUGUCCGAAGUUACUGGGCGUAAAGCGCGCGUAGGCGGCUUUUUAAGUUUGAGGUGAAAGGUUCAGCGCUCAACGUGAACAGUGCCUUGAAUACUGGAAAGCUUGAAUCUGGCAGAGGGGGGUAGAAUUCCACGUGUAGCAGUGAAAUGCGUAGAGAUGUGGAGGAACACCGAUGGCGAAGGCAGCCCCCUGGGUCAAGAUUGACGCUCAUGCACGAAAGCGUGGGGAGCAAACAGG
rnacentral:rRNA from 1 species